CCGCAACGGUCACUCACUCCGUUAUCAACCCAUCCCCCCGGCCAGGAAGCAUUAAGCGCCUACUGUGUGCCCGAGGGAACGGGUCCCAAGAAAGCCCUUGGAUGGAGGGCUGGACGGGGCCCCAGAGCCCUGCCGCUCCCACCCCCACGUUUUACCGAGGAGGAACGCUCGGGGCUGAUUUGCCCAAGGUCACAUUGUGACCCCACAGUGCCGAGAUCCCUCCUCCCCGCCCCCUUCGAACUGCACCAAGACUUUGGGGACACCCAUUACGGGGCAGGGGAGGGGGAGAGCCCCCCACGGGGAAUCCGGCUCUGGCCCAGCUGCUGAUCCGGGGCAGCCCUGAGGGCCCGGGGAAAGAGGGAUCUCCCGACCCAGGGGAUGGACUCCAGACCCGCACCCACUGGACAUGGAAAAUGAGAAGGAAUGACAAACCGUUCAGGAUCUUUGCCCAGAAAACCCCAAAUGGGGUCCUGAAGAGUCAGGACUGAAUAUGACCACCUGUAUGAAGGGGUAGGUUGGGAGUGCCUUCUUAUAUAUCUCUCCAUCUGAAUCCCACUUGAAAUGCUUGUUAAUUGAAAAAAAAAAUUGAUUAAAAAAAUAAUGGCUUUGGAA